UACGUAGGGCGCAAGCGUUGUCCGGAAUUAUUGGGCGUAAAGAGCGUGUAGGCGGCCAGGUAGGUCUGCUGUGAAAACUCGGGGCUUAACCCCGAGCCUGCAGUGGAUACGGGCAGACUAGAGGUAGGUAGGGGAGAAUGGAAUUCCCGGUGUAGCGGUGAAAUGCGCAGAUAUCGGGAGGAACACCGGUGGCGAAGGCGGUUCUCUGGGCCUUACCUGACGCUGAGGAGCGAAAGCGUGGGGAGCGAACAGG
rnacentral:rRNA from 1 species